rnacentral:rRNA from 1 species
AUGAAAUAUAAGCGAGAGGAGCCUGAUCAGGGGAAGAGGAGUAAGGCACUCACGGAUGAGCAAAAAUUGGAAGCUGCUAAUGCCAAAGGAACUACAUAUCAAGUUGGCAAACAUGAUGGAUCUUCUAUUUACCACACCGAGAAAUGGCUUAUUGACCCAUUGAAAGAGGAUAAGAGAUCCUUUCCAGAAAGGCCUGAGCUCAUGAUGGUCUUAAUAUGGCUAAGCCGGCUCUGGGGUCACCUCAGCAAAAAUGCUGUAGCACUAUCUGAUACUUCCGGUGUGCAACGCGGGUUAUCUAAUGAGAGUCUGAACCUGAAUGUUAAGAAAAAUCUUCUGGUUGCUGGAAUCCAACCUAGAAAUGCUCCUAGUGAGCAUCAUGGUCUUGAGAGGCUUGAAUUAGCUAAAGGACAAAAUGUGGCCCAGCAACACACCGCUUCAACCUUUAUCUUUUGUCCAGAAAGGUCGACUGCUGACCUGUGGUAUUGGGAGGUGUUGCAUCAGAAGUUAGAACAGAAAGACGAGAGCCCAAUAGGUGGCAGUGGUUUCUCCAUGAGGAAGUCUGGUGUAGCUUCAAGGACUGAAGAUGAACUCUGUUAUGGUGAGCCCAGAAGCAGGGUGCCUGUGGCCUUGGGAACUGAUAAUGGCAAAGUGCCCGAAAUCAUGAAAAGGCGUGGCAUCUCUAGAGAGACUGACAGAAUGGAUGCUCGCAAUAAGAAGGCCAAGUUAAUGGUUGCUGAGCAUGAACAAAGACACCGUGUUGACUCAAGUACACAAGGUUCACAUGCUAGCACAAUGGACGAGGCUGACUCUAACACUGAUAUCCUGACAAAUGUGCAUUUCAUGGCAAGGAACAAAGCAAUGUCGAUGCAUUUUGUGAAGUGCGACCCUGAAGGGUAUAUAUUUUCAUACUGUGAACAAUGUUUACCUGAGCUCUCCUUAUAUUGUUUUAAUUCUGAAAGAAAAACAAUAAUCCAUUUUGGUGUUUCUAGGACUGCAUAUGUUACUUUUGCUGACUAG